GAUGAACGCUGGCGGCGUGCCUAAUACAUGCAAGUCGAGCGAACGGACGAGAAGCUUGCUUUUCUGAUGUUAGCGGCGGACGGGUGAGUAACACGUGGAUAACCUACCUAUAAGACUGGGAUAACUUCGGGAAACCGGAGCUAAUACCGGAUAAUAUUUUGAACCGCAUGGUUCAAAAGUGAAAGACGGUCUUGCUGUCACUUAUAGAUGGAUCCGCGCUGCAUUAGCUAGUUGGUAAGGUAACGGCUUACCAAGGCAACGAUGCAUAGCCGACCUGAGAGGGUGAUCGGCCACACUGGAACUGAGACACGGUCCAGACUCCUACGGGAGGCAGCAGUAGGGAAUCUUCCGCAAUGGGCGAAAGCCUGACGGAGCAACGCCGCGUGAGUGAUGAAGGUCUUCGGAUCGUAAAACUCUGUUAUUAGGGAAGAACAUAUGUGUAAGUAACUGUGCACAUCUUGACGGUACCUAAUCAGAAAGCCGCGGCUAACUACGUGCCAGCAGCCGCGGUAAUACGUAGGUGGCAAGCGUUAUCCGGAAUUAUUGGGCGUAAAGCGCGCGUAGGCGGUUUUUUAGUCUGAUGUGAAAGCCCACGGCUCAACCGUGGAGGGUCAUUGGAAACUGGAAAACUUGAGUGCAGAAGAGGAAAGUGGAAUUCCAUGUGUAGCGGUGAAAUGCGCAGAGAUGUGGAGGAACACCAGUGGCGAAGGCGACUUUCUGGUCUGUAACUGACGCUGAUGUGCGAAAGCGUGGGGAUCAAACAGGAUUAGAUACCCUGGUAGUCCACGCCGUAAACGAUGAGUGCUAAGUGUUAGGGGGUUUCCGCCCCUUAGUGCUGCAGCUAACGCAUUAAGCACUCCGCCUGGGGAGUACGACCGCAAGGUUGAAACUCAAAGGAAUUGACGGGGGCCCGCACAAGCGGUGGAGCAUGUGGUUUAAUUCGAAGCAACGCGAAGAACCUUACCAAAUCUUGACAUCCUUUGACAACUCUAGAGAUAGAGCCUUCCCCUUCGGGGGACAAAGUGACAGGUGGUGCAUGGUUGUCGUCAGCUCGUGUCGUGAGAUGUUGGGUUAAGUCCCGCAACGAGCGCAACCCUUAAGCUUAGUUGCCAUCAUUAAGUUGGGCACUCUAAGUUGACUGCCGGUGACAAACCGGAGGAAGGUGGGGAUGACGUCAAAUCAUCAUGCCCCUUAUGAUUUGGGCUACACACGUGCUACAAUGGACAAUACAAAGGGCAGCGAAACCGCGAGGUCAAGCAAAUCCCAUAAAGUUGUUCUCAGUUCGGAUUGUAGUCUGCAACUCGACUACAUGAAGCUGGAAUCGCUAGUAAUCGUAGAUCAGCAUGCUACGGUGAAUACGUUCCCGGGUCU
rnacentral:rRNA from 1 species